AUUGAACGCUGGCGGCAGGCCUAACACAUGCAAGUCGAACGAGUGGCGGACGGGUGAGUAAUGUCUGGGAAACUGCCUGAUGGAGGGGGAUAACUACUGGAAACUGUAGCUAAUACCGCAUACCAUCGGAUGUGCCCAUAUGGGAUUAGCUAGUAGGUGGGGUAAAGGCUCACCUGGGCGACGAUCCCUACCUGGUCUGAGAGGAUGACCAGCCACACUGGAACUGAGACACGGUCCAGACUCCUACGGUAGGCAGCAGGGGGGAAUAUUGCACAAUGGGCGCAAGCCUGAUGCAGCCAUGCAGCGUGUAUGAAGAAGGCCUUCGGGUUGUAAAGUACUUUCAGAGGGGAGGCGUUACCCGCAGAAGAGGCACCGGCUAACGCCGUGCCAGAAGCCGCGGUAAUUC
rnacentral:rRNA from 1 species